AGAGUUUGAUCCUGGCUCAGGACGAACGCUGGCGGCGUGCCUAACACACGCAAGUCGAACGGAGUAAGAUUUUCGGAUUUUACUUAGUGGCGAACGGGUGAGUAACGCGUGAACAACCUGCCUUCUUGAGGGGGAUAACACCUGGAAACAAGUGCUAAUACCGCAUAAGACCACAGAGCCGCAUGGUUCAGGGGUCAAAGGAGUGAUCCGCAGGGAGAGGGGUUCGCGUCCCAUUAGCUAGUUGGCGGGACAACGGCCCACCAAGGCGACGAUGGGUAGCCGAGCUGAGAGGCUGAUCGGCCACACUGGAACUGAGACACGGUCCAGACUCCUACGGGAGGCAGCAGUGGGGAAUAUUGGGCAAUGGGCGCAAGCCUGACCCAGCAACGCCGCGUGAGGGAAGAAGGUCUUCGGAUUGUAAACCUCUGUCCUAUGUGACGAAGGAAGUGACGGUAGCAUAGGAGGAAGCCCCGGCUAACUACGUGCCAGCAGCCGCGGUAAUACGUAGGGGGCGAGCGUUGUCCGGAAUUACUGGGCGUAAAGGGUGCGUAGGUGGCACUUUAAGUUGGAUGUGAAAUCCCCGUGCUUAACAUGGGAGCUGCAUCCAAUACUGGAGAGCUAGAGUGCAGGAGAGGUAAGCGGAAUUCCCUGUGUAGCGGUGAAAUGCGCAGAGAUAGGGAGGAACACCGGUGGCGAAGGCGGCCUGCUGGGCUUUAACUGACGCUGAGGCACGAAAGCGUGGGUAGCAAACAGGAUUAGAUACCCUGGUAGUCCACGCCGUAAACGAUGAUUACUAGGUGUGGGGGGACUGACCCCCUCCGUGCCGCAGUUAACACAAUAAGUAAUCCACCUGGGGAGUACGGCCGCAAGGUUGAAACUCAAAGGAAUUGACGGGGGCCCGCACAAGCAGUGGAGUAUGUGGUUUAAUUCGAAGCAACGCGAAGAACCUUACCAGGUCUUGACAUCCCGAUGACCGCCCUAGAGAUAGGGUUUCUCUUCGGAGCAUUGGAGACAGGUGGUGCAUGGUUGUCGUCAGCUCGUGUCGUGAGAUGUUGGGUUAAGUCCCGCAACGAGCGCAACCCUUGCUAUUAGUUGCUACGCAAGAGCACUCUAAUAGGACUGCCGUUGACAAAACGGAGGAAGGUGGGGACGACGUCAAAUCAUCAUGCCCCUUAUGACCUGGGCUACACACGUACUACAAUGGUCGUCAACAGAGGGACGCAAAGCCGCGAGGCGGAGCAAAUCCCUAAAAACGAUCUCAGUUCAGAUUGUAGGCUGAAACUCGCCUAUAUGAAGAUGGAAUUGCUAGUAAUCGCAGAUCAGCAUGCUGCGGUGAAUACGUUCCCGGGCCUUGUACACACCGCCCGUCACACCAUGGGAGCCGGUAAUACCCGAAGUCAGUAGCCCAACCGCAAGGAGGACGCUGCCGAAGGUAGGAUUGGCGACUGGGGUGAAGUCGUAACAAGGUAACC
rnacentral:rRNA from 1 species